AGAGAGAGAGAGAGAGAGAGAGAGAACAGUAAGUAGCACCCCCGGACUUCUUCCCGGAUGCAGAGCAAGUGCUCUGGGUUCUUUCCUUAUUCAGCAGGAUGCUGGCUGCGGCCUCACGUGGGCUGCUCCAGCAUUCAACCAUCCAGUACAUCCCCAGCCCCACCUCCGUGAAUUCUCUGCCCAGCACCUCACUCUCAGUAGUUUCUGCAGCUCCCAUUGCUGAGAACCAGUUUUGUCCCUUUUCUGGCAUCCUUGCUUUACAUAAAAUUUUAGUUUAUUUUGAGAUUUUUUUUUUUUUGAGCAUGUUUGGUCGAUCAGGCAUUUCUGUCAAUUUUGUGACGUGGACUUCUUAGAAAGUGACCAAAGUUUCAGAAAUACACUAUCAUGUCGACGUAACUCAAGCAACGGCCCUGGUUUUCUUCCCGAUGGCCAUCCAUCUCUGUUCCCAGAAAGGAAAUCCUGAGCAGCACUCAUUCCUCCUCGAAUAUGGUCGAAUUUUCAUGGAGAAAUAUAAAGUCCUUUCUGCUUUUCAAAUGGGAUGGCUAGAUUUGUGGGGAAAGUCCCCCUCUUGUAACAAGAAUCGAUGACAACUUCCCGUUUCUUUGACUUUCCCCGGCUACCGGUGAGAACACCGAAUUCCAUUGUUUGAGGGCAAGAAGAAUAUAGGAAUAAUAGAAGUAGAAGGAAGAAGACGUGGAGCCACAUGACUGAGGACUGAGACUUCUGAAACAAUCCGAACACUUCCUGGGUUCAAACCCAGGACAAGUCUCACUCAGCACCUGCGGCUCCUUUUGGACUCGGCUCCUCUCUCGCUCUCCUUCCCCCCCUCUCCUCUCAUGGUCUGGUUUAGCCUGCCAGCCCCAUCCAACCUGGACUGUUCCCUCUGCCUGCUUCCUCCUUUAUAUUCACCAUAAAGCCAUUCUCCACAUUUCAGGGAUGGUCAAUGUCCCCCCUUCAUCUCAUCUUUCAUUCACUGAGGACCCAAUCAAUAGCCUGUGGUGAAGAUUGAUCGCUGAAUUAUAUUUAAAUGCUAUAGGGUACCAGUGAAUAUGUUUGGUAUAAUGACUGGGUCUCUUUGCAUUUGUGAGGUCAAGUGUGCCAGAGAAAUCUGGCUUGUCCAACAAAGCCAUUCCCUUAGUAAUCUGUUGACCCACUUGGAUGGCCAUUAUCACCACAUUUUUCCCUUCUAGAUUUUAGUUUGGUUUAGUUUAGUUCAUUGGUGGGAACACAUGUGCACAGGCCUGUGGAGUUCAGAGUUCAAUGUUCAGUGUCCUUCCCUAUGACUCUCCACCUUGGUUUUCUAACCCAGGCCUCUGACUGAACCUGGAACUCACCAGUGUGCCAAACUAGCUGAUAAGUCCUGCCUGUCUCCUCAUCCUCUAGCACUGGGUUUGAUUUCAACACGUGAAACCACACCUAUGAGUGUUGUGUGUCCACAUUCAUCUUUCUUACCCACUGAGCCACUUCCCUAAGCCACUAGAUUUUAACUGUCAUCUCUGCAUAUGUAUGGGGUGGUGGCAGCAUAGGUUUUGAAACUACAUAGGGCACCAUAAGAGGGCAAGCUUUGAGUGAGGAAUGAAGGGAGGGGAGAUGAGUGAAUCACGGAACACAUGUGACAGAAACAAAGAAGGGACUACUUGGGGUGUGUGUGUGAGAGUGAAACUGUUGGGGUGAGGCAUGGAAAGGGGAGAGAGGAGAAAAGGAACAGAGGUUAACGCACAACUAAAUGUGACUUCUCCCUGCUGGAGCACCCAGGAGAGCUACUGGAUGAGAAAGGGCUUUGUUGUUUGAUUGAUUGAUUGAUUGAUUGAUUGAUUGAGGAAACCACACAGCCCAGGCUAGCUGCUAAGGGAAAUAACAAUGUAUUAUAGCAUGCUGAUUUUUUAUAUAAAAAAAGAAAGAACAAAAUA